GUGUGUUGAUCCUCCUGAACAGGACAUCUGACAGCUGGAGACAUGAUGUGUCCACAGAUUUGUGUCCACAGAGUUUAGAAACACCUAAUAUUUCACUAAUAUAAU